AAGCGUAACAGCUCACUGGUCUAGGAUUCUUGCGCCGAAAAUGUAUCGGGGCUCAAGCCAUGCACCGAAGCUUAGGGUUUGCAACUUGUUGCAAGCGGUAGCGGAGCGUUCCGUAAGCCUGUGAAGCGAUCUGGUAAUGGGUCGUGGAGGUAUCGGAAGUGCGAAUGCAGACAUGAGUAGCGAUAAACAGUGUGAGAUGCACUGUCGCCGAAAUCCCAAGGGUUCCUGCUUAAAGCUAAUCUGAGCAGGG
rnacentral:rRNA from 1 species